rnacentral:rRNA from 1 species
UACGGGGGGAGCAAGCGUUGUUCGGAUUUACUGGGCGUAAAGGGCGCGUAGGCGGUCAGCACAAGUCAGUUGUGAAAUCUCCGGGCUUAACUCGGAAAGGUCAACUGAUACUGUGCGACUAGAGUGCGGAAGGGGCAACUGGAAUUCUCGGUGUAGCGGUGAAAUGCGUAGAGCUCGGGAAGAACAUCGGUGGCGAAAGCGCUCUGCUGGACUGCAACUGACACUCAGGGACGAAAGCUAGGGGAGCGAAUGGG